rnacentral:rRNA from 1 species
UGAGGGAAAGCUGCAAAGUACUCUGAAGAGAGAGUUCAAAAGGACGUGAAGCCGUCUGCAGGGAAACGGGUGAGACCGCAUGGUAGACCCGCGGCGGAUUCAGCUCCGGGGGCAACCUCGGGGUGCACUUCCGCGCCUGCGGGUCGCGCAGGGCCCGACUCGACGGCCGUCUGAAGCCCGGCGAGGAGGUGACGGGGUUCUUCGGAUCUCCGAGUUUAACUCGUCGGCGCGGAGACCGGCUGUUGGGUCGAGGGUCGAGGGUCUUUGACGCGUGGG